rnacentral:tRNA from 1 species
UCCCUGGUGGUCCAGUGGUUAGGAUUUAGUGCUUUCACAGCUGCAACCCAGGUUCAAUCCCUGGGUCUUGGAA